rnacentral:rRNA from 1 species
GUGUCAGCCGCCGCGGUAACACGUAGGCACCAAGCGUUAUCCGGAUUUAUUGGGCGUAAAGAGCUCGUAGGCGGUUCGGUAAGUCGGGUGUGAAAACUCUGGGCUCAACCCAGAGAGGCCACCCGAUACUGCUGUGACUAGAGUGCGGUAGGGGAGCGGGGAAUUCCUGGUGUAGCGGUGAAAUGCGCAGAUAUCAGGAGGAACACCAGCGGCGAAGGCGCCGCUCUGGGCCGUAACUGACGCUGAGGAGCGAAAGCAUGGGUAGCAAACAGGAUUAGAAACCCCCGUAGUCC